rnacentral:rRNA from 1 species
CCUACGGGUGGCAGCAGUGGGGGAUAUUGCACAAUGGGGGAAACCCUGAUGCAGCGACGCCACGUGUGGGAAGACGGUCCUCUGGAUUGUAAACCACUGUCCUCAGGGACGAAGAUGACGGUACCUGGGGAGGACGCUCCGGCUAACUACGUGCCAGCAGCCGCGGUAAUACGUAGGGAGCAAGCGUUGUCCGGAAUUACUGGGUGAAAAGGGAGCGUAGGCGGGAUGGCAAUUUGGGUGUUAAGUCUACCGGAUCAACUGGUAGUCGCACUCAAAACUGCUAUUCUUGAGUGAAGUAGAGGCAGGCGGAAUUCCUAGUGUAGCGGUGAAAUGCGUAGAUAUUAGGAGGAACACCAGUGGCGAAGGCGGCCUGCUGGGCUGUUACUGACGCUGAGGCUCGAAAGUGUGGGGAGCAAACAGGAUUAGAUACCCGUGUAGUC